rnacentral:rRNA from 1 species
UACGAAGGGAGCUAGCGUUGUUCGGAAUUACUGGGCGUAAAGGGCGCGUAGGCGGCUUCGCUAGUUGGGCGUGAAAUGCCUGGGCUCAACCCAGGAAUUGCGCUCAAUACUGUGAGGCUCGAGUGUGGGAGAGGAUAGUGGAAUUCCCAGUGUAGAGGUGAAAUUCGUAGAUAUUGGGAAGAACACCAGCGGCGAAGGCGGCUAUCUGGACCACAACUGACGCUGAGGCGCGAAAGCGUGGGGAGCAAACAGG